AUGACGGUGGCGCAGCGCUACGCGCUCAUGAAGGCCAACGUCGACGGCCUAAAGCCGCUCCAGGUCGGCAUCGCCGUCUGCGACCACGAAGGCCAGCAGGUCGCCUGGGAGUUCAACCUCUGCGACUUCUGCCGCCUCGCCGACCCGCACGACCAAAAGGCCCUCGACUACCUUGCCGACCGCGGCGUCGACCUCGACAUGCUCGGCGCGCUGCUCAUGGGCUCCAGCCUCAUUGGCGCCGGACAUGGGCGGCCGCUGUCGUGGAUCACCUACGCCGGUGCCUACUACGCAGCAUACCUGCUCAAGAUUGUCUACGACGUUGCCACGAUGGCGGCCGGCUGCCCGGGCAUGCCGGUGGGGCUGGACUGCAUCGCCGCUAGCCUGCGCAUCCAUCCGCCGUGGGGGAGCCCUCGUCUCGCAGGCGCCGCUGGCGUGCGCGCGCUUCUGGCCUUCAGGAUUUGGAAGCACGGGGAGUUCGGCGGCAACGUGGAGAGGUUCCGAGGUCUGCUUCAGGGCCUGCAGUAG
rnacentral:rRNA from 1 species